CCCAGUGUUCAGACUACCUGUUCAGGAGGCUCUCAAUGUGUACAGUAGUCUGCACAUUGGUUA
rnacentral:pre_miRNA from 1 species